rnacentral:tRNA from 1 species
GGCUAUAGCUCAGCUGGGAGAGCGCCUGCCUUGCACGCAGGAGGUCAGCGGUUCGAUCCCGCUUAGCUCCA